rnacentral:rRNA from 1 species
AACGAACGCUGGCGGCGCGUCUUAAGCAUGCAAGUCGAACGAAUGUCCACCCUCGGGUGGGCGGAAGUGGCGGACGGGUGAGUAACACGUGGGUAAUCUGCCCUCCGGUGGGGAAUAGCACAUGGAAACAUGUGAUAAUACCGCAUGAUACGGUCCGGCGCAUGCCGGAUUGGGAAAGCUCCUGCGGGAGCGCCGGGGGAUGAGCCUGCGGCCCAUUAGCUAGUUGGCGGGGUAAAGGCCCACCAAGGCGACGAUGGGUAGCCGGACUGAGAGGUUGACCGGCCACAUUGGGACUGAGAUACGGCCCAGACUCCUACGGGAGGCAGCAGUGGGGAAUAUUGGGCAAUGGGCGCAAGCCUGACCCAGCAACGCCGCGUGGAGGAAGAAGGGUCUUCGGGAUUGUAAACUCCUGUUGUUGGGGAAGAUAAUGACGGUACCAACAAGGAAGUGACGGCUAACUACGUG